CACGUAGGGGGCGAGCGUUGUCCGGAUUUAUUGGGCGUAAAGAGCUCGUAGGCGGCUCAGUAAGUCAGGUGUGAAAACUCCAGGCUCAACCUGGAGACGCCACCUGAUACUGCCGUGGCUAGAGUCCGGUAGGGGAGCAUGGAAUUCCUGGUGUAGCGGUGAAAUGCGCAGAUAUCAGGAGGAACACCAGUGGCGAAGGCGGUGCUCUGGGCCGGAACUGACGCUGAGGUGCGAAAGCGUGGGGAGCAAACAGG
rnacentral:rRNA from 1 species